rnacentral:rRNA from 1 species
GUCGGCUACCAUACCACAUUGAUAGCACCGUUUCUCUUCCGAUCACCGAAGUUAAGCAACGUUGGGUCCUGUUAGUACUUGCAUAGGUGACCGGCUGGAAAAACCGGGUGUUGUUAGCU